rnacentral:rRNA from 1 species
CACGAACCGUACGAACGUUAUUCGGAAUUACUGGGCUUAAAGGGUGCGUAGGCGGCCCAGAAAGUUGGGUGUGAAAGCCCUCGGCUUAACCGAGGAAUUGCGCUCAAAACUACUGGGCUCGAGGAAGGCAGAGGUGAGCGGAACUACGGGUGGAGCGGUGAAAUGCGUUGAUAUCCGUAGGAACACCAGGGGCGAAAGCGGCUCACUGGGCCUUUUCUGACGCUGAGGCACGAAAGCCAGGGGAGCGAACGGG